rnacentral:lncRNA from 1 species
AUCCAACCAACUGGAAUCCCACUGACAUAAAACUUGAAACACGCGAUCCACCGACACAUCCAUGCAGCAUUUCUAAGCAUCAAAAACUCCAAAAUCUCUGAAAGGACGGAGAAUACUCAAUCCAAACAAAAUUUAAACUCUAAAAUACUCUAGUUGGAACAAUUAGCCAUAAUUUUACGGCAGCCAUUCAACAAAUAACAUCAAACGACGCAUUAAGUAGAAAGAAAAAGAAGCUAAGUACAUACCUACAAAAAUCUAGGAAAAGCUCAGUGGGUUGCGUACUUGCGCUGCUGGAAAACCUUAGACAAAGCCCGGAGAUGGGAAUUCGCCGGGAAGCUGGUUGGGUUCGGAAAGGCCGUCAGUCAGCCUCGAUGAAGUGGUUGGGUUCGGAAAAGCUGGUUGGGUUGCCUAUGUGGAGCUGGCGAAAGUGGCGGAGAUGGAGCUAGAAGAAGCAGCGAUGGCAGUGGUGGGGAAUUGGGAGUUUGAGACUUGGGAGUUGGGAUUGGGACAGUCGGCAGAGAAAGCUUGGAGGUUGCUGAGGAGCUGGUAGAAGUGGUGGAGGUGGAGCUAGCAGAGAUGGCGGUGGCGGAAGUACGAAUUAGGAGUUUGGCAGUGCCAGUGGGACGGUCGG